UGGGGAAUAUUGCACAAUGGGGGGAACCCUGAUGCAGCGAUGCCGCGUGGAGGAAGCAGGUUGUCGGAUUGUAAACUCCUGUCGUAAGGGACGAUAAUGACGGUACCUUACAAGAACGCUCCGGCUAACUACGUGCCAGCAGCCGCGGUAAUACGUAGGGAGCGAGCGUUGUCCGGAAUUACUGGGUGUAAAGGGAGCGUAGGCGGGACGGCAAGUCAGAUGUGAAAUAUACGUGCUCAACAUGUAGACUGCAUUUGAAACUGUCGUUCUUGAGUGAGGUAGAGGUAAGCGGAAUUCCUGGUGUAGCGGUGAAAUGCGUAGAGAUCAGGAGGAACAUCGGUGGCGAAGGCGGCUUACUGGGCCUUUACUGACGCUGAGGCUCGAAAGCGUGGGGAGCAAACAGGA
rnacentral:rRNA from 1 species